CGAACGCAUCCCGCUGAAUUGAAGUGCUUGCACUGAUUUUCAGCAUUGCCUGUGUGGCGAACUGGUGAGUAACACGUGGGUAACCUGCCCGGCAGCAGGGGAUAACACUUGGAAACAGGUGCUAAUACCGUAUAACAACUGAAACCGCAUGGUUUCAGUUUGAAAGAUGGUUUCGGCUAUCACUUCUGGAUGGACCCGCGGCGUAUUAGCUAGUUGGUGGAGUAAUGGUUCACCAAGGCAAUGAUACGUAGCCGACCUGAGAGGGUAAUCGGCCACAUUGGGACUGAGACACGGCCCAAACUCCUACGGGAGGCAGCAGUAGGGAAUCUUCCACAAUGGACGAAAGUCUGAUGGAGCAACGCCGCGUGAGUGAAGAAGGGUUUCGGCUCGUAAAACUCUGUUGUUGAAGAAGAACACAUCUGAGAGUAACUGUUCAGGUGUUGACGGUAUUUAACCAGAAAGCCACGGCUAACUACGUGCCAGCAGCCGCGGUAAUACGUAGGUGGCAAGCGUUGUCCGGAUUUAUUGGGCGUAAAGCGAGCGCAGGCGGUUUCUUAAGUCUGAUGUGAAAGCCUUCGGCUUAACCGGAGAAGUGCAUCAGAAACUGGGAGACUUGAGUGCAGAAGAGGACAGUGGAACUCCAUGUGUAGCGGUGAAAUGCGUAGAUAUAUGGAAGAACACCAGUGGCGAAGGCGGCUGUCUGGUCUGUAACUGACGCUGAGGCUCGAAAGCAUGGGUAGCGAACAGGAUUAGAUACCCUGGUAGUCCAUGCCGUAAACGAUGAAUACUAGGUGUUGGAGGGUUUCCGCCCUUCAGUGCCGCAGCUAACGCAUUAAGUAUUCC
rnacentral:rRNA from 1 species